rnacentral:rRNA from 1 species
GAUGAACGCUGGCGGCGUGCCUAAUACAUGCAAGUCGAACGCAUUGAGAGAAGUGCUUGCACUUUUCAAUUUGAGUGGCGAACGGGUGAGUAACACGUGGGCAACCUACCUGAUAGCGGGGGAUAACGAGUGGAAACAUUCGCUAAUACCGCAUAACAAUAGAGAAGGCAUCUUCUUUAUUUAAAAGGCGCUUUCAAGCGUCACUAUCAGAUGGGCCCGCGGUGCAUUAGUUAGUUGGUGGGGGGAAGGCCUACCAAGACGAUGAUGCAUAGCCGAUUUGAGAGACUGAGCGGCCACAUUGGGACUGAGACACGGCCCAAACUCCUACGGGAGGCUGCAGUAGGGAAUCUUCCACAAUGGACGAAAGUCUGAUGGAGCAACGCCGCGUGUGUGAUGAAGGCUUUCGGGUCGUAAAGCACUGUUGUAUGGGAAGAAAUGCUAGGCUAGGAAAUGAGCUUAGUUUGACGGUACCAUACCAGAAAGGGACGGCUAAAUACGUGCCAGCCGCCGCCGUAA